UUCCACAUAGAUAUCGUAUUGUUCUAAGCAGGUCUUCAGUGAAGGAUUAUGAUAGACCCAGGAAAACAAUCAUUUCACAUCUCCGGAAUGCUGGGCAAUCCACAGAGGAUGCUAGGGAAAGGGAGUAUCCAAUCAGCAGCAGUCCUCCUAGGGCUGUUUAGCCUGGACCUGUUGCCAUGGAAACAAGAAAGCAGAGUCAAUGUAUUGAAUCUAGAAUUCUCCUCCCUCAAGCGAAAGGGCUACUGCUCUGAAGACUAAGUAGAUUAUGACCAAUGGUUCUUAUAACUUCAGGAAGCCAUUUUCAAUGGACAAUGAGAACAUCUGGUUCGUCUCCCAGCUAGUCUGCCCUGUGGUGCUGCGCAGCAAGAUAAUGGGAGAGGAUGUGAGACUCUGCAGGUGUAGCAGUCAUUCUAUUCCUCACGUGACUGACCUGGAGUUUGAUUUUCUCAUCAACAAUCAGAUAACUUGGCCAGAGCAAAUCACAGUUAUCUGUGUGUACGACUCUGCCAUGGUGGAGGAUGGUACAUUGCAGGAUAUCGAAGAGUUAUAUAGUCGCAAGAACAGAACAAGAAACAUGCCUUGCAUACAGAGUCGCCUGGAUCCCUUCCGGUUGCUCAAGUACAAUAUCAGCGGUGCUGAUGAAUUCACUGAUCAUAUUGGUUCCCUCUUGGUCUCUCGACACAAUGUUGCCUCAGGCAUGUUCUUGAUGUACAUCCAGGGAAAGCUGUUGUUUGCCAAUUACGUGUUUAAUGGGUACAGCACAUCUGCUAAAGACCUUCAGAAACAAAUUGUGAAGACCAGAAAUGAUUACCACCUGGGUUACUAUCUACCUAAUGACUUCAGAUUUAGGAAUCAAAAGCCAAAGAGGACUGUUAAUGGACACUGAUAGGAUUUUCCGGGCCGGGCAGAAAAAUAAUAUUUUUCCUCCCGCCAUGGCUGCAAACUGCACUGAACUGGGCAACUUUUCUCCAGACAUGAUGGCAGAAAAGCAGUAUUAAAACUGAAGAGAGAAGGGGAAAAUUACAAAUUGGAAUACUGACAUUCACAACAGAAGAAAUCAACAUUCUGGCAUCAACAGACA